rfam:Pseudomonas sp. M30-35, complete genome.
UAUUGCGACCGUUUUGCGGUCGCCUGAAUGAGAGGAAGCCACCAUGGCACUCAGCGUUGAAGAAAAAGCCCAAAUCGUAAACGACUACAAGCAAGCUGAA